rnacentral:misc_RNA from 1 species
GCGCCAACAAAUAUUCAUAUUAUGUUCAUUUGCUAACAGAAAGAUUGUUCACUAUUCGCACGAGCAGUCAAUUAUGAUCUGGGGGCGGAGUUUAAUAUAAACAAUAAUAAUUACAAUUUGCUGACUGUCAGACGCCAAAAAAACUCAGUUUACAAUAAGUAUAUUCCUAUUAUCUUUUGGAAAAGGAAGCUAUUAUCUGAGUAUUUAUCAUUUCUUUUUGAACAUUCCUUUUCAUAUUUAUGUACAUUAUUUCCUUUUUUAUCUCUCUCUCUCUCUCUCUCUCUCUCUCUCUCUAUUUCUAGUCUUUUUUCCUUCUUAUUUCGAUAGAUUGAAGAGACGUUUGGAAAAAUGGAAAAAGGGCAGACUGAACAGGGUACUACCACCCCAAAAGGAGAGAUGGACGAGAAGGAGGAAGAAGCCUGGUUGAGAGUAACAAUUCAAGAGCUGAGAGAAAUCAAGGGGUCGGCCGAUCAAUUACUUGAUGAAGCCGCAGCCUAUAGUAUGGUUAGAGAAUCAAUAAUUGAAGAACUUCGCGAACGUAUGAGUACAUCGGGAGCUCUUCUUGAAAUCGCUGAGAUGAUUCUCAACAUUCACGUUUCUCGAAGAGAGGAUCAAGAUAAACUUUGAAUAGUCUUUGUUUAUUCUUGGCACUUAUUUUCAUUUGUUCCAAAUAUAUGACAUUUG